GGGAAACAAAAUUAAGUAAUCAGAUAUAACUACCUUGCCUACAAGGAAUAUUGGGCAUGGGAAUGGACUGGACCUUGAAGUAUGGACCAGUACGGAUUGUGAUUUGAUUCCUACGUCCUGGAAAGCAGCAGGAGGUCUGUGAAUGAGUGCCUAAGACUAAGAGGAUUGCAAGGCAUGUCCACACCUGAAGUCCUCCACAACUCCUUGGUCCUCACAUGUAG